AGCGAAUGUCUGUGUGACCUCUGUCAUGGAGCCAUUUCUCCACACUAUACUAUCAAAGUUUAAAGGGAUCAGUGAAUUUUAACUCUGGAGUCCUCUAUGCUAAGGAUGCUCAGCUUACAGAUGAUGAAAUGUUCAGUAAUGUAUUUGCUGGAGCUGUGCUUACCCAAGGUUUGGGUAAAACAAGCUUUGGGUUCCUUCUGUCUCACUGGGAGUUGCCCAAUUCAGUUGCAUCUGGUGAAAUUCACCCUGAGACCUUACAGAACUAGCUCCAACUACGUGAGAGCCAUUUGCAGUUCUCUCCAGACACCUGGAGAAUGGGCGACGUUUCUGAGGAUCCGGCGAGCGUGCUUCUGUCAAAACUCAGUCUGUGAAAUUUCUGGGGAAAACACUUCUGUGUCCUGAAGGGUUCAAACUCUGGUGAGGAUCCAGUUAUCAGGUGCUCACCUGGAUGGUUCCAGCUCCCAAAGGUAACACUUGUACUCUUGCCCUGUAGUUUACAUCUAUUGUAUUUUUGUUAUUUUGCAAGAUUUUUUGUCUUUGCAAAAUAUUGUGCAUUUCACUCUUUGGAACCUCUCAGAUGGUUCUUUGGUGC